rnacentral:misc_RNA from 1 species
GAUGAAGAACGUAGCGAAAUGCGAUAAGUAAUGUGAAUUGCAGAAUUCAGUGAAUCAUCGAAUGUUUGAACGCACAUUGCGCCCGCCAGUAUUCUGGCGGGCAUGCCUGUCUGAGCGUCAUUUCAACCCUCAUGCGCCUAGGGCGUGGUGUUGGGGAUCGGCCAAAGCCCGCGAGGGACGGCCGGCCCCUAAAUCUAGUGGCGGACCCGUCGUGGCCUCCUCUGCGAAGUAGUGAUAUUCCGCAUCGGAGAGCGAUGAGCCCCUGCCGUUAAACCCCCAACUUUCCAAGGUUGACCUCAGAUCAGGUAGGAAUACCCGCUGAACUUAAGCAUAUCAAUAAGCGGAGGA